AUCCAGCUGACGAGUUUCGAAUAGGACGAGAUGUGCGUCAUGGAU
rfam:Schistosoma margrebowiei strain Zambia genome assembly, scaffold: SMRZ_contig0000234